GAUGAACGCUGGCGGCGUGCUUAACACAUGCAAGUCGAGCGAGUGAGUUCUUCGGAACGAUCUAGCGGCGGACGGGUGAGUAACACGUGGGCAACCUGCCUCAUAGAGGGGAAUAGCCUCCCGAAAGGGAGAUUAAUACCGCAUAAAAUUAUCGAGUGGCAUCACAUGAUAAUCAAAGGAGUAAUCCGCUAUGAGAUGGGCCUGCGGCGCAUUAGCUAGUUGGUGAGGUAACGGCUCACCAAGGCGACGAUGCGUAGCCGACCUGAGAGGGUGAUCGGCCAGAUUGGGACUGAUACACGGCCCAGACUCCUACGGGAGGCAGCAGUGGGGAAUAUUGCACAAUGGGGGAAACCCUGAUGCAGCAACGCCGCGUGAGUGAUGAAGGUCUUCGGAUUGUAAAGCUCUGUCUUUGGGGACGAUAAUGACGGUACCCAAGGAGGAAGCCACGGCUAACUACGUGCCAGCCGCCGCCGUAA
rnacentral:rRNA from 1 species